rnacentral:rRNA from 1 species
UACGAAGGGGGCUAGCGUUGUUCGGAAUUACUGGGCGUAAAGGGCGCGUAGGCGGUCUGAUAAGUUAGGUGUGAAAUUCCCGGGCUUAACCUGGGGGCUGCACUUAAUACUGUUGGGCUUGAAUCCGGGAGAGGAUAGCGGAAUUCCCAGUGUAGAGGUGAAAUUCGUAGAUAUUGGGAAGAACACCAGUGGCGAAGGCGGCUAUCUGGACCGGUAUUGACGCUGAGGCGCGAAAGCGUGGGGAG